AACGAACGCUGGCGGCAGGCUUAACACAUGCAAGUCGAGCGCCCCGCAAGGGGAGCGGCAGACGGGUGAGUAACGCGUGGGAAUCUACCCAUCUCUACGGAAUAACGCAUGGAAACGUGUGCUAAUACCGUAUACGUCCUUCGGGAGAAAGAUUUAUCGGAGAUGGAUGAGCCCGCGUUGGAUUAGCUAGUUGGUGGGGUAAAGGCCUACCAAGGCGACGAUCCAUAGCUGGUCUGAGAGGAUGAUCAGCCACACUGGGACUGAGACACGGCCCAGACUCCUACGGGAGGCAGCAGUGGGGAAUAUUGGACAAUGGGCGCAAGCCUGAUCCAGCCAUGCCGCGUGAGUGAUGAAGGCCCUAGGGUUGUAAAGCUCUUUCACCGAUGAAGAUAAUGACGGUAACCGGAGAAGAAGCCCCGGCUAACUUCGUGCCAGCCGCCGCCGUAA
rnacentral:rRNA from 1 species